rnacentral:rRNA from 1 species
CUAACACAUGCAAGUCGAGCGGUAGAGAGAAAGCUUUGCUUCUCUUGAGAGCGGCGGACGGGGUGAGUAAUGCCUAGGAAUCUGCCUGGUAGUGGGGGAUAACGUUCGGAAACGGACGCUAAUACCGCAUACGUCCUACGGGAGAAAGCAGGGGACCUUCGGGCCUUGCGCUAUCAGAUGAGCCUAGGUCGGAUUAGCUAGUUGGUGAGGUAAUGGCUCACCAAGGCGACGAUCCGUAACUGGUCUGAGAGGAUGAUCAGUCACACUGGAACUGAGACACGGUCCAGACUCCUACGGGAGGCAGCAGUGGGGAAUAUUGGACAAUGGGCGAAAGCCUGAUCCAGCCAUGCCGCGUGUGUGAAGAAGGUCUUCGGAUUGUAAAGCACUUUAAGUUGGGAGGAAGGGUUGUAGAUUAAUACUCUGCAAUUUUGACGUUACCGACAGAAUAAGCACCGGCUAACUCUGUGCCAGCAGCCGCCAGUAAUACAGAGGGGGCAAGCGUUAAUCGGAAUUACUGGGCGUAAAGCGCGCGUAGGUGGUUUGUUAAGUUGGAUGUGAAAUCCCCGGGCUCAACCUGGGAACUGCAUUCAAAACUGACUGACUAGAGUAUGGUAGAGGGUGGUGGAAUUUCCUGUGUAGCGGUGAAAUGCGUAGAUAUAGGAAGGAACACCAGUGGCGAAGGCGACCACCUGGACUAAUACUGACACUGAGGUGCGAAAGCGUGGGG